GUGGGACUUAGUCUUUGUUAUAUUUGUACUUAGUAUUUUUUACAUUUUUAUUGUACUAUUUUUUGUAUGUUUGACAUUAAAAAUUAAAAAUUGUGUAAUCAAGUUAUAACUUUCUAAAGUUAGACAUGCGACUCAACUUCCUGAUAUGAUGGAUUUUGUUCUUCAAUCCUAUUAACUCCUGCUCAUAGUAGCUAACAUG
rnacentral:lncRNA from 1 species